rnacentral:rRNA from 1 species
AUUGAACGCUGGCGGCAUGCCUUACACAUGCAAGUCGAACGGUAACAGGUCUUCGGAUGCUGACGAGUGGCGAACGGGUGAGUAAUACAUCGGAACGUGCCCAAUCGUGGGGGAUAACGAAGCGAAAGCUUUGCUAAUACCGCAUACGAUCUACGGAUGAAAGCAGGGGACCGCAAGGCCUUGCGCGAACGGAGCGGCCGAUGGCAGAUUAUGUAGUUGGUGGGAUAAAAGCUUACCAAGCCGACGAUCUGUAGCUGGUCUGAGAGGACGACCAGCCACACUGGGACUGAGACACGGCCCAGACUCCUACGGGAGGCAGCAGCGGGGAAUUUUGGACAAUGGGCGAAAGCCUGAUCCAGCCAUGCCGCGUGCAGGAUGAAGGCCUUCGGGUUGUAAACUGCUUUUGUACGGAACGAAAAGACUCUGGUUAAUACCUGGGGUCCAUGACGGUACCGUAAGAAUAAGCACCGGCUAACUACGUGCCAGCCGCCGCCGUAAGAC